AGAUUGAACGCUGGCGGCAGGCCUAACACAUGCAAGUCGAACGGUAACAGGAAGCAGCUUGCUGCUUUGCUGACGAGUGGCGGACGGGUGAGUAAUGUCUGGGAAACUGCCUGAUGGAGGGGGAUAACUACUGGAAACGGUAGCUAAUACCGCAUAACGUCGCAAGACCAAAGAGGGGGACCUUCGGGCCUCUUGCCAUCAGAUGUGCCCAGAUGGGAUUAGCUAGUUGGUGGGGUAACGGCUCACCAAGGCGACGAUCCCUAGCUGGUCUGAGAGGAUGACCAGCCACACUGGAACUGAGACACGGUCCAGACUCCUACGGGAGGCAGCAGUGGGGAAUAUUGCACAAUGGGCGCAAGCCUGAUGCAGCCAUGCCGCGUGUAUGAAGAAGGCCUUCGGGUUGUAAAGUACUUUCAGCGGGGAGGAAGGUGUUGUGGUUAAUAACCGCAGCAAUUGACGUUACCCGCAGAAGAAGCACCGGCUAACUCCGUGCCAGCAGCCGCGGUAAUACGGAGGGUGCAAGCGUUAAUCG
rnacentral:rRNA from 1 species